GAUGAACGCUGACAGAAUGCUUAACACAUGCAAGUCUACCUGAACUUCGGUUUGGGUGGCGGACGGGUGAGUAACGCGUAAAGAACUUGCCUCACAGUUAGGGACAACAUUUGGAAACGAAUGCUAAUACCUGAUAUUAUGAUUUUAGGGCAUCCUAGGAUUAUGAAAGCUAUAUGUGCUGUGAGAGAGCUUUGCUUCCCAUUAGCUAGUUGGAGAGGUAACGGCUCACCAAGGCGAUGAUGGGUAGCCGGCCUGAGAGGGUGAACGGCCACAAGGGGACUGAGACACGGCCCUUACUCCUACGGGAGGCAGCAGUGGGGAAUAUUGGACAAUGGACCAAAAGUCUGAUGCAGCAAUUCUGUGUGCACGAUGACGUUUUUCGGAAUGUAAAGUGCUUUCAGUUGAGAAGAAAAAAAUGACGGUACCAACAGAAGAAGUGACGGCUAAAUACGUG
rnacentral:rRNA from 1 species